rfam:Schistosoma mattheei strain Denwood, Zambia genome assembly, scaffold: SMTD_scaffold0003283
AUCCAGCUGAUGAGUCCCAAAUAGGAUGAAACGCGAGUUCUGCAU